UCCCUUGAGCCGGAUUUGAACCAGCGACAUGUACAGUCCACCGCUCUGCCAACUGAGCUAUUGAGGG